rnacentral:rRNA from 1 species
AAAGAUUUAGCCGGGUACUUACUCCCCAACCCAUGUGACUUACCAUUGUUGCCUCGUGUCAGAAGCUGCCCGGUACACCUUACCUUGGAACGGCCUACCCUGUAGCGCCUUACCCUGGAACGGCUUACCCUGUAGCGGCUGCCGGUGGACUACCAAACUCUUGUUAUUUUAUUGUAAUCUGAGCGUCUUAUUUUAAUAAGUCAAAACUUUCAACAACGGAUCUCUUGGUUCUGGCAUCGAUGAAGAACGCAGCGAAAUGCGAUAAGUAAUGUGAAUUGCAGAAUUCAGUGAAUCAUCGAAUCUUUGAACGCACAUUGCGCCCAUUAGUAUUCUAGUGGGCAUGCCUGUUCGAGCGUCAUUUCAACCCUUAAGCCUAGCUUAGUGUUGGGAGCCUACUGCUUUUACUAGCUGUAGCUCCUGAAAUACAACGGCGGAUCUGCGAUAUCCUCUGAGCGUAGUAAUUUUUUUCUCGCUUUUGACUGGAGUUGCAGCGUCUUUAGCCGCUAAACCCCCCAAUUUUUAAUGGUUGACCUCGGAUCAGGUAGGAAUACCCGCUGAACUUAAGCAUAUCAAUAAGCCGGAGGAAGAACAUUAUAGAGUUUUCUAAACUCCCAACCCAUGUGAACUUACCAUUGUUGCCUCGGCAGAAGCUGCCCGGUUACACUUACCUUUGGAACGGCCUACCUGGUACGCCUUACCUGGAAAGGCUUACCUGUAGCGACGGCGGUGGGACUACAAACUCUGUUAUUUUAUUGGAAUCUGAGCGUCUUAUUUAAUAAGUAAAAUUUCAACAAGGAGUCUUUUGGUUCUGGCAUCGAUAAAAAAGCACGAAUGCGAUAAGUAAUGUGAAUUGCAGAAAUUCGAGAAUCAUCCAAUCUUUGAACGCCGCAUUUGCGCCCAUUAAUAUUCCUAUGGGGCAUGCCUGGUUCGAAGCGUCAUUUCAACCCUUUGAGACUAAGCUUAAGUGGUGGGGGAGCAUACUGCUUUUUACAAAGCUGUAGACCUCCGGAAAAUAACAACGGCGGAACCUGCGAAUUUCUCCUGGAACUUGGGGUAGUUUUUUUUCCUUGCUUUUUGGAACUGAAAAUC